UUACCAUAAAGUGAGAUUGUAGUCAUAGGCUAACUUGUAAAGAAUUAAAAAAUAUUUCUAAUAAAAUAUUUACGGUCACCGUGACUUACAAACUAGAUUGGCUGAUUAUUUCGUCGACGGAUGCAUAUACAAAGAGCGAUGCCCCAUUAGUGCAGUACGUCGCAUUGAUGCAACGGAUCAACGCAUUGUAUGCCACACGGCACACCUGCGUUGCUAUGACGCAAGAAGUCGCACCGCAAGAGGACGACGCACGCACCCUGUCAGCCUCAACAAUUCAUACUUAAGAAAUGAGCACUCUCAGUCGUCCGUUGCCUGCAAGGGUGCAACGCUUGUAUUUUUCAAAAUAUAUGGAAAACGACGCAACGUAACACUAAGAACUAAAAGCGCUGACUCAGAGAUUUCUUUGGUUGAUUAACGUUUUACACAACUUGAUGCUCACUUGUUUUUAAAGAGAUUAUAGAGCUGAGGACCUACUGACAAGCGUCUUAUACCUUUUUCUAAAAGCGUAUUAAUAAAAAUCCUUUGAGUCAGAGACGACUAUUUCAUGUAUUAUCUCGCUUUCUUGCUCUGAAAACUCUAUAAUGAGAUGCCUACCUAAUUCUCUGUACCAUGUAUACGAGCAGACUCUCCUUAAUAAAGAUGACGUUUGAGCAUUCAAAUCAAUUAUUACUUACUAUUUAGUAGGUAAAUCGUAGUAGAUUAUCUUAGGUACUUAAUCCGUAUAAUCCGCAUACAUCCGUUCACUAUAACCGACUUAAGUGACAGCCAAUCGAGUCUGUCGUCUACGGUGGCCCUAGUAGUACGUAUUACUUAUUAUUGAAUUUGUAGUAAAUGUUUUAACGUGCACUUAAUAAUAAUUGUCUAUGUAUAUACUUAUUUAUUAUAUUUUGGACAUCAAAUUAAUGUAGAAGAAGAGAAGUCUGUUAUCUACAUGGUUUGCUUAUAGCCAAGAGCGUCGUCAAGGGAGGGCAGGCAUUGGCUGCCCUUCUCUAGAUAUUUAAAAAAGAUUUUGCCAAAUACAUACCUACCUACAUACAUACAUACAAUUAAAUGUUGUUACACACUAAAAAGUCCUGAAAAAACCGAACUGUAGGUAUUGCUGGAGAAAAAAAGCGCAUGUGACACGCUUUUAUUUUGAUCAUACUCGAAAACAACGAAGGAACUUUAAUUAAAAACAAUAUCUCGAUUUUAAAAUUAAAAUUAUUUAAUUAAUUUAAAUUAAGAUAAAAAUACGUUGUAAAUAUUUAAAGUAGGCUUAGUUUGCGAGUUCAUUUGAAACGUUAAGUUGGACUAUUUUGUAAAGACUACCACGGGUAAGGAAAGCAGGUUCUGCUGCAUUUUAAUUUUUUCUCAUCCUCCAUGAAAUUUUCUUGACCCCCGCCCAGGGUCAUAUGCCGGCGACGCCUUUGCCUACUACUAUUUACAUUAUGGGUCAAAUGUAUAUUUCAGUAUGCUAAAAAUAAUGCAUGUUAUAUACAGAUGACUUUUUAGUUUUAAUACAGAAGUGCUUCAAAAUGUUUCGAUACAAAAAUCGUCGCCGCAAGCACCGCAAGGUACUUGCAACCGCAACCCAUGUUCACCAAAAGCUUGAGCUUCAAUAGCUCAGUGGUAAUGGUGCCGGACGCAACACUGAGAGGUGGUGGUUCGAUCCCUCGCCUUCUGGACUAUUGUCGUACUCCUAGCAGUCUUUCCCAACUAGUUGGUGGGAAACGGGUAUAUUGGUCAAAUAUUCUUUUUUUUUUUAAUUAUGAUUUUAACCCUGAUGCCGUAAAUGCGGGUACGUGUAAAAUAUGUGCAAAAUAUAGGCAUAUUUUUGUAAAUAUAAUUAAUGUAAACGAAAAAACUAUUUUUAAUGAAUUUGCACUUGGCUAAUACAUUCGUGAUUAAGGACAUAUGAACCAAUUGGGUUGCAGCGACGAAUCUUUUGUUGUGGUCAAAUAUUUAUCUAAUAUUAACAAUAAAAUGAAAUACAAAUCAAUACAUGAAAAAUGUAGUUAUUUACCAUUACAUAGACCUAUCUGCCUAGUAUAUAUUUAAGCAAACAGUUCAAUAUAAAGUUGAACUUACCUACUUGAUGGCAAAUCUCGACCACCAUGUUAAAUUAAUAAUUAAUGUUAAAUUUUCUAAUCAUAUUAUUUGUUAUUAUAUCGGCAAUACGAGUAAUAACAAGCUGAAUCAAGCAUAUUUUUUCAUGUUUUUACACCUCAGUGAAUACACACGUAUGUUUUUUUUAACACCGUCGUGUAAUUAUACUUAUUUAUGUCAUGUAGGUAUGUUUAAUACAACACUAUAGUUUUUAAUAAUUGAUGUAAUUUUGAUUCUAAUCACAAAUUAUUGUGAGCAGGGUUCCAGAUUUGUAAAUUUGUAGUGUCAUUUUAUUACUAAGAAAUAAACGAUUAUUAUUAUUAUUAUUAUUAUAAAUGAAACCUUGAGACAAUCGUAUAUAACAGGAACACGAGCGACAGUGUCCGCGACAAACGGUCAGUGGUCACCACAAAUGGGCAAUGGCGAUUUUUGUGAAUACUUAUAUGUGAAAACAAUAGUUAUAAUUAUAUCACAAUAAUAUAUCUCACCUAUAUACACUUUCCUAUACUAACUUAGCUAGAGUAGACAACACCGUAAUAUUUAUAGGUCUCCCAUAUUACAUUCCUAAUUUAUACCUAAGUUUAAAAAUUAGCGCUGAUGCUGUUGAAUUAUUUUUUUUACUAAUGCGAUUUAACAUUUUUACCAUAAAUACUUAUAUUCUUCUCUUCUCGAGUUUCUUUGCUGUCCCGCUACUGAACGUUAACAUUCCUUUUACAUGGCACUAAUUAUUAUACCUACCGGGGGCGAUGGCUCCUAACAACACGAUUCCUUUCGGGUUACCUUUUAAAAACCAUGCAUACUUUUUCCUUUUUGCACAGCAUUUCUACAAUCUGUACAAUAAGCGGCUCCGCGCAACUUAAAAAGCAGUACAUAUUAAUACUACCUAUAUGAACGUAGACGUACGUGGAACUCGCUUGGUCUUUCAGACUAAAUAACACAUGAACGGGUUACCUACUAGAAAAAUUCAGCCUUCGCUACUGAUACCUACCUUACAGCCGAAAUAGCUCUCUAUAAAAACCAACAUAGGUAAAUAAAUACAUAACACUACACAAGUAAGCAUAUAUAAAUAGUUUAUCAUUGUAGUUUAUAUAUUUUUUUUUUGGAAUAUUAAACGUUCCUUGGGUGUUUACAUUCUAUGGGAAAUAAUACAAUUUUGUAACUGGGCCACUCAGGACAAUAAUUUAUAGGUAAUAGUGUAAUAUUAUAGAGAAAUUAUACAUAAUACCUAAAUGUACCCAUUCGUACGACAUUGUUUAAAUGUUUUGAAUACCAAAUUGAAAUAUUUUUAGGUGACAUAAUAUGUUACAGUCACGUUGGAACUUUAUCUUACAAAAGUUUGGUAGAGUGUAGUAAUGGUUUUGAAGUAUUUGUUUUAUUAUUUGUAUUAAGAAACGCUCUUUUAAAGGUUUUCAACGUAUGAAAGCUACAUCUUCGAAGCUUAAAGCCAUUGGCGUAUCUAGGCGUAUUAUUUCCUAAGUCGGGCCUGGCCCCCGACUUCAAGUCUAUUAUUAGUAUCAUAAUAGAAUUCCAUAUCGGUAGCCCAAAAUCCAGGGCAUGCAACCCCCGCACCAUAACGGAAAUGACGCAACUAGUAUGUACUCAUGUUGCCUCAAUGAUUGUAUCAAGAUGUAAGGUAGGUAGCCAAUGAUAUAUUAUACUAUAUUAUAUAAAAUAAAAUAGUAUAAAAGUAUCAUUGUAGGUAGCUCAUUAAUUAUUAAGCAAGGGUAAUUUAAUAUUUUCAAAAAAAUAUAUGUUAUUUUGACUGUUAGAUCGUUGCUCUACGUAUGUAACACCUUUCGAACAAAAGGCAUUUCCGAGAAUUAAUAAUUUAUGAUUUAAUGAAUAUAUGUGUAAGUAUAUUGAGUUUAAUUGCCGAUUUAACUUAGAUACGUAAGGAUGGUAUAUUAAAUGAUGUGCAAAGGAAUUGCAUUGAGAUCAAUUCUUAUUGUCUUAUUAAUUACAUAUAUGUUUGUGAAGUAAAUAUGUUUCUACAGUUUGGUUUAGGUAACUGUGCAUACCAGUGAGGUAUCUACAAAAAUAUUAUGAUGUCACAGCAAUUGAUAAAUCGAUCUCUAAUUUUGCACUUAAGCGAUCGAUAAAAUAAUCGCGACUAUUGAUGUUUUCUUAGAUUGAGAGCAUGAGUCAAACCUUUAUAAUUUUAUAAAAGUUUAAACUUUGUCAGCUCAUGAUACUUUACCUGCCAUAGGUAAGUAAGGUGUUGGCAAAUUAAUGAUUUUAAACCCGUAUAAAGGUAUGUACCGGUUUAAAUAACAUUCAUAUGGUGUUGGCAACUAUACAAAGUGGUGCCAGGAAUACGACCUUAAAUUAAUACACAAUCGCUAACAGUCAAUCAAAAUACGAUUAGGUGAUUAAAUUAAUUAUUGUAUAAUAAAUAAAAAAACUAAAUUUUCAAACAAAAUAAAUUCGGAAAUAAUCUAAAAAAUUCACAACAUCCUUUAUAAUAAUAUAAAACUAACCUCAAGUGACCUGUAGGUAAAAGCGGCAACAUCGCGUCUCCUAGUUUUUGGUUAUUUGGCGGUCCGUUUGUAGUGCGUAAAGUUCUUUCAUGAACUCGUAGGUACUUAUCUACUUAUGAAUAAUCACGCCGCGCCGCGGCGGGCGGGAGCGCCAAAAUUGAAUUAAUUUGUAUUUUGUACAAAUUAAUCUCUCAAAGGUACUCGUACGUAUUUACAGUACUUAGCUUAAAUUUUUAAACGCUGGAAAUGUCCACCAUUGAUUUAAAAUACACAAGGUACAACGUCGCGAGAUAUCGGUAUAAUACUCAGUAGCAGUAUUACCGGAACGUGGCAUUAUGUUUCAAUACCAAAACACACUUCACAAUAAAAAAAAACUACACAAAUCACAAGAAAUGUUUGAUUUGUAUAAAACAAUGCGCAAGGGUGGCAACUGGCUAUCACUCACUGAGUCACUAUUCAAAAGACGCCGCCCGCGCCGGGAACCAAAUCUAGCAAAACACUAAAUGUAUUUCUAUCCUAUUCCCACUUAGUAAAUCUUCCAAACACCUACAGUUAGCUAAAAACAAAUGAUAUUGAAUGAAAGCCCUUAUAGGCCAGGAUCCGGUGAAUAUUUUAACAGUUGAUGACUGUCCAGUUAAUUUUCCGUGAAUAGCUUCGUCUUGAUGAGGCGCCCAACUCUUAAAUUUUCGAAAAUUAUUUAUUUUGGUAGCUAACAGAGUUACUAGAUAACAAAAAUGUCUGAGCAUAGGAACGAAAUAACUGACCACGCUAUUUGUAAGACAAUAUGGCUGAUAAGUUGUAUAACUAUUAAUUUAUACAACUUUUCAGCCAUAUUGUCCUACAAAUUCAAUGUUAUUUAUGCCUCAUCAAGACAAAGCUACUCACAAAAAAUUUACUUGGUAGUGAUCAACUGUAAAAAUGUUCCCCGGAUCCUGGACUAUUAGUGCCCAAUUGACAACGUCGCAAUUUUCGUUUGUUUACAUUAAAAAUAGGUACAAAAUUUGUGGUGCCGAAUAAUUAUUGUAGGUAAGUAUGGUAAAGAUAAUAAGAAUUUUUAUUCUUAUGUGCGUUAGGUCUAAAUUUCAAUAGGAUUUUUGUUUUUUGUAAGUUACCAAUAUUUUUUAAAACGCACAUUUUAAAUUGUUAUUUUGGUUUAUCAAGGUGAAUGACCUAGUGAAUUUUCGUGAUGUUUACAGCGUGUUCAAAAAUUGUUUAAGUGAAAAAAUUAUCCUGUGGCUAAACCGCUGUAUAGAAAUUAAUAAAAAUUGGCGUGCAGACUACUUACACGAUACCCCAUAUGUGGUUGAAAUUAAGGUCGUAAUCGUUUCACCACUUUGUAUAGUUUCGACCAUGGCUGAGGGAGUGCAGCAGUACCUAUUUCUAGUAUUUUUUUUAUCAUCUCGGGACAGUAUGAGAACUAGUUCCCAGUUGUCAAUCACUUCUUUGUGUAAACCUUUCGAAAACAUUGUUAAAGAUUAAACUUAAGAGAACGAAGGCUUGGAGGAUAUGAUUUUUUAUAAUAUUAUACCGGAAAAAAAUAUAAACGACGCCUUAUACUUGGACAAUUGAGGGUUUGAAUUCUUGAAACCUGAAACUUCCUAGUGCCUACCAGUGGCGAAGAGUUGAUGCAAGUCGAUUCCUGCCAGGUUUCUUUUAAAAAUCCAUGCAUAUUUAUUGUUGUACUGUAUGAAACCGGAGUUUGUAUAACGAUAUUUGAAUUUCCUUCUCUUUGGGGUGGCUUACCUAUAUCUAAACUCCAUUCUUCGCCACUGGUGCCUACCUACCAAAGCCACCAUGUGUGCAAAAAGUAUGACGUAAGCGGAAAACCUAGACCAGGUUAUAGGAACAAAGGAAUUUUAUAAAUUAAUUGACAUGCCCCCAAGACACCAGUGACUCAACUUCUUAAAGCAGAAGUACUAAGUGGAUUCUUUCAAAAACAGGAACUUUUUAAAAGUGCUUGUAAAGCCUACUUGAUAUAAAUGAAUUUGAAAAAAAAAUGUACAUAUAGUUUUAUAAGCUGUAGCGACAUAUUUAUUGUGGUAAUUUUAAUUAGUUUUAAGCUAUAAUAAAAGUAGGUACCUAUAUAUUAUGUGUAUGUAUUAUUUUUGUCAGGAAAUGCAUUCAAGCAAGUCUAAAUGAGUGCUACAUGCACGUUUGGUAUUAUUCAAAUUCAAUUGUCUAUAAUACGAGGUUGACUAUAGCUAUGUUAGUAACACAUGAUAUGGAUAGUAAACAUUAUCUAUUACUAUUCAGUCCAGCUUAUAACCACCAUGGAAGUAUAUAUUGCACGAGCAGAAAUACACAAGUAGAAUUAAUAAUAUUAAUGCAAUGUAAUGAAAUCCAGCAAUACUCCUAACUUAUCUACGCUAUAUGCUAUAAGUAAGAUUUAUGAAACUAGCAAAAGCCCCACGGUAUCAUAUCACCCACGUACUUGACAUUCCCACAGGAAUACGAGAAUGAAAUUUAUCCUAUGUUACUCGCUGAUAAUGUAGCUUUCUAUUGGUGAAGUUAUUUUAUAAAUCAUUGCAGUGAGUUAGGCCUGAAAACGUAACAUACAAACAUAAAUACGCAUUGUAAAAUUAAUUAAGAUAUGAAAUAUUAAAAACUCGUCUGGCCUGUUCAAAUACUCUGUGUGACUUCGUGUAUAAAAUUACCGACAAGUCCACCUCGUAUUGAAGAUUAUUGUUCGGUGUUAUAUGUAAGACAAAUGUAACAAGAUUUGGUCGUAGAUAUAUUUGGACUGCAGUCCUUUCUUGCCAAUACUGUAAUCUACGAAUGUUAUUUUAAUAAAUAAUUUGUUGUCAUCUC
rnacentral:lncRNA from 1 species